rnacentral:rRNA from 1 species
AGUCAAGUAAUUAAGUGCAUGUGGUGGAUGCCUUGGCAGUCAGAGGCGAUGAAAGACGUGAUAGCCUGCGAAAAGCUCCGGGGAGGCGGCAAAUAUCCUUUGAUCCGGAGAUGUCUGAAUGGGGGAACCCACCUACUUUAAGGUAGGUAUUGCAACAUGAAUACAUAGUGUUGCAAGGCGAACGAGGGGAAGUGAAACAUCUCAGUACCCUUAGGAAAAGAAAUCAAUUGAGAUUCCCUCAGUAGCGGCGAGCGAACGGGGAUCAGCCCAUUAAGUUAUGUGUGUUUUAGUGGAACGCUCUGGGAAGUGCGAACGUAGAGGGUGAUAUUCCCGUACACGAAAGGGCACACAUAAUGAUGACGAGUAGGGCGAGGCACGUGAAACCUUGUCUGAAUAUGGGGGGACCAUCCUCCAAGGCUAAAUACUCCUGACUGACCGAUAG